GGCGUAAAGGGCUCGCAGGCGGUUUCUUAAGUCUGAUGUGAAAGCCCCCGGCUCAACCGGGGAGGUGUCAUUGGAAACUGGGAAACUUGAGUGCUGAAGAGGAGAGUGGAAUUCCACGUGUAGCGGUGAAAUGCGUAGAGAUGUGGAGGAACACCAGUGGCGAAGGCGACUCUCUGGUCUGUAACUGACGCUGAGGAGCGAAAGCGUGGGGAGCGAACAGGAUUAGAUACCCUGGUAGUCCACGCCGUAAACGAUGACUGCUAAGUGUUAGGGGGCUUCCGCCCCUUAUUGCUGAAGCUAACGCAUUAAUCACUCCGCCUGGGGAGUACGGUCGCAAGACUGAAACUCAAUGGAGUUGACGGGGGCCCGCACAAGCGGUGGAUCUUGUGGUUUAA
rnacentral:rRNA from 1 species